AUGAGCAAGUUAACCAAAGAUGAUAUAGUUCGGUCCAACACCACCAUUCUGGAUGUAACCUGGAGCAUACUGGAAAGGAAGGCUGGAAGUCUAUACACCAUUCAGCUGUUGUGCAUGCAAUUCUACUUGGGAGAUGAGUCCAUUUUCAUUGGCCAGACUGUUGCCAACAGCAUAGCAACACAAAAGGUUGCUUCAGUUGACUUCACAAUCUUGACGAAGAAGAUGCUCAAGUUAAGUGAGUUGCUUGGUAAGACUGCCAUAAGCAACCUGCAUUUGAACUUCAGAAGCGAAAAGAUUUGGGUCAAACCGGAAGGUCGAAGGCAAUUGUUACCUGUGUUCCACAAACUUAGGAUUGUGAAUUUGCUUAACAUUCCUGAAGAAUGCGAUCUGACUUGGACAAUGUUCCUACUCGAAGGUGCACCCAACCUUAAGGAACUACGCAUCGUGGUGCGGGAUCAUUUAUGUUUAGUGGUAACAGGGGAGCAGAGGAAGAAUGGCGCAUUUAGCGAGGAGAAGGACAAGGGACUGGAGUGGGAACCAUCUGCAUCUGAUUUCAAGCACCACAACCUUGCUGGGCUCAGUAUCUAUGGGAGGUUUCAAGCAGAAGACAAACUCGUGAGCUAUGCCAGGAGCAUCAUGCAAGCAGCAGUGAAUCUGGAGGACAUAAAGCUAUACAAGAGUCCAGUGUGUCAAAGGUGCAAGCACAUGCGCCAGGAGUGGACAUUGGAGGAGAAGUCAUCGCUUGGCUACAAAAUCAAAGAGGGGAUGCCCUCGCUCGUCCAGAUCCACUUCCCGAGUUUAGGGGAAGUCUUUUUUUAG
rnacentral:rRNA from 1 species